rnacentral:rRNA from 1 species
UACGUAGGGUGCAAGCGUUGUCCGGAAUUAUUGGGCGUAAAGAGCUCGUAGGCGGUCUGUCGCGUCUGCUGUGAAAAUCAGGGCUCAACCCUGGACCUGCAGUGGGUACGGGCAGACUAGAGUGCGGUAGGGGAGAUCGGAAUUCCUGGUGUAGUGGUGAAAUGCGCAGAUAUCAGGAGGAACACCGGUGGCGAAGGCGGGUCUCUGGGCAACAACUGACGCUGAGGAGCGAAAGCGUGGGGAGCGAACAGG